UACGGAGGAGGCAAGCGUUAUCCGGAAUUAUUGGGCGUAAAGCGUCCGCAGGUGGCACUUCAAGUCUGUCGUCAAAGACUGGGGCUUAACCCUGGAAAGGCGGUGGAAACUGAAGCGCUAGAGUGCGGUAGGGGUAGAGGGAGUUCCCGGUGUAGCGGUGAAAUGCGCAGAUAUCGGGAGGAACACCAAUUGCGAAGGCAGCUCGCUGGGACGUCACUGACGCUGAGACGCGAAAGCGUGGGGAGCAAACAGG
rnacentral:rRNA from 1 species